AAGUCGUAACAAGGUUUCCGUAGGUGAACCUGCGGAAGGAUCAUUACAAAUAAACUGGUAGGAAGGUGGGGUCCUUGAUCCUGUAAGUGGUAGAGCGAACAGUCCGGCUGCCCCCGCAAUGGAUGUUACUUACGUCCCGUCCACAGCCUGAAGGCCGAAUUACAACCCUUGAUUAUCUACACUUGUUGCUUUGGGGUGCUCAAGUGCCCCAGAGGACCCAACUCUCUUGCAAUUUAGUGACGUCUGAGUACUAUAUAAUAUUUAAAA
rnacentral:misc_RNA from 1 species